rnacentral:rRNA from 1 species
GGGCCCGCACAAGCGGUGGAGUAUGUGGUUUAAUUCGAUGCAACGCGAAGAACCUUACCAGGGUUUGACAUCCUGCGAAUCUCUUGGAAACAGGAGAGUGCCUUCGGGAACGCAGUGACAGGUGGUGCAUGGCUGUCGUCAGCUCGUGUCGUGAGAUGUUGGGUUAAGUCCCGCAACGAGCGCAACCCACGUCUUUAGUUGCCAGCAUUUAGUUGGGCACUCUAGAGAGACUGCCGGUGAUAAACCGGAGGAAGGUGUGGAUGACGUCAAGUCAUCAUGCCCCUUACAUCCUGGGCUACACACGUACUACAAUGCUACGGACAAAGAGCAGCAAGUUCGCGAGGACAAGCAAAUCUCAUAAACCGUGGCUCAGUUCAGAUCGUAGGCUGCAACUCGCCUACGUGAAGGAGGAAUCGCUAGUAA